rnacentral:rRNA from 1 species
GCCUAACACAUGCAAGUCGAACGGAGAGUUUAGAAACGAGAAUUUCGGUUCAAGUUUUUAAAUUUCUUAGUGGCGGACGGGUGAGUAACGCGUGAGCAAUCUGCCUUUCAGAGGGGGAUAACACUCUGAAAAGAGUGCUAAUACCGCAUAACGUGACCAAUUCGCAUGGAUAAGGCCACCAAAGAUUUAUUUCACAGAGAAGGGCUCGCGGCUGAUUAGGUAGUUGGUGAGGCAACGGCUCACCAAGCCGACGAUCGGUAGCCGGACUGAGAGGUUGAACGGCCACAUUGGAACUGAGGAACGGUCCAGACUACGACGGGGGGCAGCAGUGGGGAAUAUUGGGCAAUGGGCGAAAGCCUGACCCAGCGACGCCGCGUGGGGGAAGAAGGUCUUCGGAUUGUAAACCUCUGUUGACAGGGACGAAGAAAAUGACGGUACCUGUCGAGGAAGCCACGGCUAACUACGUGCCAGCAGCCGCGGUAAAAC